UACGUAGGGUGCGAGCGUUAAUCGGAAUUACUGGGCGUAAAGAGUGCGUAGGCGGUUCUUUGUGUCCGCUGUGAAAGCCCCGGGCUUAACCUGGGAAUGGCAGUGGAAACUAGAGGACUUGAAUCCGGCAGAGGGGGGUGGAAUGCCACGUGUAGCAGUGAAAUGCGUAGAUAUGUGGCGGAACACCGAUGGCGAAGGCAGCCCCCUGGGCUGAGAUUGACGCUCAGGCACGAAAGCGUGGGGAGCGAACAGG
rnacentral:rRNA from 1 species